CUGACAAACCUGCUACCUGUACUGGAUCAUUAUGUUUUACUUUUGUGAUUUUUAGCGUUAUAAAUAUGUAAACUUGAUAACUUUAAGUGACGUUACAAACAGACAAAAUGUAUGUCUUUCUCGGUGGGUCGCUUUGGUCAUGGGCUUGCUAUCUGGAGAAAUGCAUUUGCCAGCAUGGUGACACAAGGGGCUGUUUCUAUAACCUGAUCGAACCCCCUGCAGCACCAGAAGUUGUCCAGAGAAAGACCCUCAACACCCAGGCUGUGUUGGAUACGUUUUCACCGCAGACUGACAUAUGAACCUUCUGUGACCCUGAGGACAUCUGGGGCUGGCCUGUUGACUGUCCCAAGAGCCAGAACAAAACAUGGUGAAGCAGCAUUUUGUUAUCAUGCAGCACAAACCUGGAAUAACCUAGCUCAAAACGUUCCUUUUCUACACUGCUUACUCCACCCUGUAAUGACUGCAAACUUAUUGUUAAACUCAAUUUUAAAUCAUUUUAAAUAAGCUUUUUAUCUUUGCACCUCUUAUCUGCACUCUUGCUCUUGUUUUUUUUUUUUUAAAUUGUUAAUCAUUUAGUAAUUAAUUUCACCUUUUAUAUCUAUUUUUCUCUUUAGUCUUUUAUUGUAAAUCUGUAUCAUUAUUCAUGUUUUAUAUUUUAUUGCUCUGUAACGCACUUUAAAUUGCCCUGGUGUAUGAAAUCUGCCACACAAAUAAAGCUGCCUUGCCUCGCAAAUCAAUUUUAAAACAUCAGGAGCGUAAUUAACCUAGAUCUCCUUGAUACCAUCACUGUGAUCCAUGACUAAAUCAGCACCUGUUUAUAAAAAGGUACAUAAUGUCAACAGCAAACUGUGCACAAAGGUUGUUUGUAGAAAACUGUUUUCACAGCGGAUUUUUUAACCUGUCAGUGGGAAAGCACAAGCGUUGCUAACGACACUUUGUUCUAUUCAA